AGAGAGAGAGAGAGAUAUUAUCGAACAGGUUAAGGGACGAAAUCAAAAGUAAAGGAAAAAUAAAAUAAAAAAUAAAUAAACGAGAGAAGAAAAAAAGAUAGAAAAGGAAGGAAAAAAAGAAAAGAAAAAUACAAAAAUACACUUAAGAAACCUCGGCAAGAAAGAAAGGAAAAAGAAAAAGAGAGGAAAGGAAAGGAAGAAAGUGAAAUAGAACGGAGAAGUAAAUUUGAGUGGAGGAAAGAAGGAAAGGAAAUAAAGAUAGAUAGAUAGAAAGAUAGACACACACAAAAAAAAAACUAAAACAAAGAAAACUGUGAGAGAAAAAUAUAGACAGAAUGAAAGAAAAUAUAAACAAAUAAAAGUAAGAAAAUCAAUGAAAACGGAGAUAGAAGUAAAGAAAACGGGAAGCAAGUGACAAAAACAAACGCGCGAUAUUGAAAAAAAGAACAAGAAAAACAAAAGAGCAUCAAACAACAACAAGAAGAACCAGAAACACACAAGGAAACACACAAACACACACUCAACACACGAGAGAAACACAACCACCACCACCACUAACAACCACAACAACAACCACAAAAACAACAACCAUUCCUCCACUUAGGACCUCCACACCACGAUUCCUUUAUGAAGAGGAACAAAGACAAAGAGGAGACAACGACCAGGAGUAAGAAGGAGGAGAAGAAGGAAAAGGAGAAGAAGGAGAAGAAGGAGAAGGAGAAGAAGGAGGCUGAGAACAAAACCGCAGGAGGAGGAGGAGGAGAAGGAGGAGGCGAUAAGAAGGAGAAGACGGUAGGAGAGGAGAAGAAGGAGGAGAAGAAGGAGAAGAAGAAGACGGAGAGCAAGAUGGGGCUAAGAAGAGGAAGCGAGGAAAAGGAGAAAGGAAAGAACGCCAAAGCUGGAGGUCCUACGUUGGUACCUCUUGGCGUGGCGGCGGGCGUGGCUACAGGGAUAGGUGGGGGGCUUGGCGGGGGGCUUGGCGGGGGCUACAGAAGACAGAGAAAGGAGUCGGAAAGAGGAGCCUCCGUGGCGGCAACGAUGAGGGAGUCCAAGUUGGUGAUCCUCGGAGCGGGCGGCGUGGGCAAGACCUCCCUGGUUCUACAGUUCCUGCAAGGGUUCUUCUCGACGGCGUACAAGCCUACCGUAGAGGACUGCUACAGCCACACUCUACAGCUGCCAAAUGGCCUGUUCCACGCCCUCGAGAUCCUGGACACAGCGGGCUCGCAUCACUUCCCUGCCAUGCGCGAGCUCUCCAUUCGCUCCGGCCGCGCUUUCGUUAUCGUGUUCGCCGUCAACAACGAGCAGAGUUUCUACGAGGCCGAGAGUCUGUGGGAGAUGAUUACCAAGAUUAAGGGGACGGAGGCGGCGCCGGUGGUGGUGGUGGGGAACAAGGUGGACCUGGAGAGAGAGCGUGCCGUCAGCUUCCAGCGGGCGCAGGACUGGGUGGACACGUGCAUGACCAACGCGUCCUACCUGGAAACCUCGGCGAAGUACAACAUUAACGUGGGCGAACUCUUCAAGCAGCUUCUCAUCCGCACCUACGGCCUGGCUAACAACGAGAUGGAACAGAACAGGGAGGUGGAGGGAGACGCAGCGCUGUAAUAAUGGAAAAUGAAGGCUGGGAGUGCGGGUUGACAGCUGGCAUGGCGGGCGGCUGCUAUGGUGAAGGGGAGGCCCAGCAUAUGUUGCCCCUGCAGAGGACCCUCCCGGCCACCGCCAAGGGGAGUGUUGAGCAUCGUGUGGGUGAGCCUGUCCCGAUGCCUGACCCUCGGAGCUCCCUCAAGGCAGAGGCUGGGGCCCACACAUUCCUGUUCACACUCUGUCCAUCCUUGCCUGGGUCCUCUCAUCCCCCAGCCUUCCCGCCAAGGUAUUCUAAUGCUCAUUCCUGGGCCGGGAUUGACGGCUGAGUUCUCCCACCACUGAGCUCCAUGACUCUCCAUCCUGGACUGUAGCAGUGCCUGUUGGAGGGUUGAACUCUUGACUCGGCCACAGCAAGCACCUGGACUGUAGCAGUGCCUGUUGGAG